AUGCAGCAUAUGGCCACAUCCUACUUUAAGGAGGUGUAUACCAAGGACCCAACUUUGACGCCGGAGAGUGUCUUGGAGGUUAUUGCACCGAAGGUUACUCAAGGUAUGAACGAUCUACUUUGUGCACCCUUCUCGAAGGAGGAGGUUUCUAAUGCUCUUUUUCAAAUCGGUCCGCUUAAAGCGCCAGGAACAGACGGUCUCUCGGCUAGAUUUUUCCAAAGGAAUUGGGCCGUGAUGAAAUCUGAAAUUAUAGCUGCGGUUUUGGAGUUCUUUAAGACAGGAAUUAUGCCUGAUGGGGUGAAUGACACGGCUAUUGUUCUUAUUCCGAAAAUUCCUUUCCCAAAGGAACUUAAGGAUUUUAGACCGAUAAGCCUAUGUAACGUUAUCUAUAAGAUCGUUUCAAAGUGCUUGGUGACCAGGCUACGGCUGAUGCUUGCGGAGUUAAUAUCAGAGAAUCAGAGUGCCUUUGUCCCAGGAAGGCUUAUCUCUGACAAUUCUAUAAUUGCUUUUGAAUGCCUUCAUCAUAUACAACCGUUGAAAUAG
rnacentral:rRNA from 1 species